rnacentral:tRNA from 1 species
AGCAAAGUAGUUUAAGUAAAGAAUAUUAGGUUGUGGUUCUAUUGGAGGAUGUAUCCCUUUGCUA